rnacentral:rRNA from 1 species
UACAGAGGGGGCAAGCGUUAUUCGGAAUUAUUGGGCGUAAAGCGCAUGUAGGCGGUUUGUUAAGUCUGGUGUGAAAGCUCAAGGCCUAACCUUGAAAUUGCAUUGGAAACUGGCAAACUAGAAUACUGGAGGGGUAAGUGGAAUUCCAUGUGUAGCGGUGGAAUGCGUAGAUAUAUGGAGGAACACCAAUGGCGAAGGCAGCUUACUGGACAGUUAUUGACGCUGAGAUGCGAAAGCGUGGGGAGCAAACAGG